UACGUAGGGGGCGAGCGUUGUCCGGAAUUAUUGGGCGUAAAGAGCGUGUAGGCGGUUCGGUAAGUCUGUCGUGAAAACCUGGGGCUCAACCCCAGGCGUGCGGUGGAUACUGCCGGGCUAGAGGAUGGUAGAGGCGAGUGGAAUUCCCGGUGUAGCGGUGAAAUGCGUAGAUAUCGGAAGGAACAUCAGUGGCGAAAGCGACUUCCUGGACCAAUACUGACGCUCAUGUGCGAAAAGCGUGGGGAGCGAACAGG
rnacentral:rRNA from 1 species